CAGGCAGGGAAGCUGAACCAAGAGCCGUAUCUAACUCAGAGGCUGAAUGGGUGACACACAAGGAAAGAGAGACCAAGGGAUAGAGCCAACAGGAUCAUGUGACCCAAGUCCAAAGGCCUGGGCCAGCAGGGGCCAAAUCACAGCGAGCAUUUGCCAGGGACAGCUGCUCUUGCCACCAGAGCCCCGAGGAGAGACACGAAUGCUGUGUGAGAAAGUGUUUCGGCGCUCUGCAUUGUCUUGUUGGACUGUGAAAAGUCAGCCCUGUAAAUCUAUGGCACCAAGAAUUUUUGAUGAACGCAGAAGGUAUGACAAAUUAAAUGAUUGGACAGAUAACUGAAGUUUCGUCUCCAGUCCCAGACCCCUUCUUAGAGUAUUUUGCCUGCAUGUCUGUAUGUGCACCAUGUGUGUGCCUGGUGCCUGAAGAUGUCAGAAGAUACCAGAUCCCCUGGAACUGGAGUCACGGUCAGUUGGGAGCCGCCAUGUGGGUUCUGGGAACCUGAGUCCUUCACAGGAAUAGCCCCUGCUUCAAACCAUUGGACCCUCUCUCCAGCCCCAGCAAGAUUAGCCAGUCACAUAAGAUGAUGAAGUCCAGUUGACACCAACCAGAGGAGACCAAGUGCCACCCACAGCUCAGGGAUGAAAGAGACCGUUUCAGCAAAAUGCUCACAGAUCUUCCCAAGGGAACCGAUUCACAGUCUCCUACAGACUCCCAGCACUGCCAAGACUGAUAAGCGCCGCAGCAAAGCUUUGCCACAUCUUGUUAGAGCCAGCUGCAAGGUAGGUCUCUAUGAAUGCAGAAACAGAGAGACCUUUGAAGUGCAAAUUCCGAGCGACUGAAGAAGGGUCGUGGUUAUGUAAAAGGAGGUUUCCUCCCAGCCCCUGCUCGGAGGUAAACUCAGGGCGUUUCAAGUCACAUGCAGAAGAGUCAAAUGGUAGCCGUGGAAUUGCCUGACAGGAUAAAAUGCAUCUGAGAGGAAAGGAUUCCUUUCCCCUCUAUGGCUCUUCCUGCUUAGAUGUUGGCCUCCCCUUCUCUGCUGCUUGCAAGCUCCGAGUCCUGGCUCGCCAGCACAGUGCCCAACCCCACCGGUCUCUAACCACAUGGAAACCUUAGAGACUCGAUCUUCCCCAAUCAAAGGAGUCCUCCUUCCAUACUACUCUCCUCUUUAGUUACAAAACCAGAAUCUGCCUAUUUUGGAAAGGGCCAAGCACCUAGGUGUUGGUUUUUAGCGGCGCUCUUAUCCUGGGAGGAAAAGUCACGGAACACGACAGAAUCCACUGACAAGAGUUUUAUUAAGAUGAGGAGGGAAGGACGGAUGUGAUCACGCCUGCUGAAAGGACACGCGUGUGAAGGGGGCCGGGGAACAUGGGGGCCGGAUUUUUUAAAGGCCAAGCCACACCUGCUCACACAGGCCCACGUGGCAACUCCACGCAUGUGCAUGGAUCACUGUGGUUACGCCGCGUGCUUUACGCAACCACGCAGCCACGGGGUCAUGGGUCACGCAGGAUGUAUGACCCAGAAAUGACUAAGUGUCCCGCCGGGCAUGCGCAACCGUGGGGGCGGUGGGAAUUCCUAUCACUGGGAAAGCAGGGAAUGUAAACCUAAGAGCUGGGAAAGACGAGAACACAAGUUCUUUGGUUUUAGCCCGGUGAAACUCGUUUGGACACUUGGCCUCCCGAACUAGAAGAGUGCAAGGGAGCCCAUGUAUAUUAUUUUAGGCCACCAAGUUUGUGACAGCAGCCACAGGGACCUAAAUCAGGUUUCCCAUCUUUUAUUAGUAGAAUUCAAGUAUUUUAUUAUCUCCUAGUUUCUGACAAGAGCACUUGGCUCCAAUCUAGCCUGGCUUCAGUGUCGCAGACAUGAUGGGUUUUCCUGUGUUCCAAGACCCUUAAUGGCUCGCUCUCUCUCUCUCUCUUUCUCUCUCUCUCUCUCUCUCUCUCUCUCUCUCUCUCUCUCUCUCUCUCUCUCUCUCCCUCUCUCCUCAAGCUCACUUAAUACAUGUAGCUGAAGCUGGUCUUUAACUGCUCCUCUGGCCUCUGCCUCCCUAAUACUAGGAUCACAAGCACAUGUCUCCAUCCCUCAGCUUGACUUGCAUUUCUUGAAAAUAAAACCCACAUUCUUUAGCUCAGAGGCCCAGCAUGUACUCAGCCAAAUGCCCAUUUUCAGCCACACACUACGUGUAUGAACCCUACAACCCUGUAUGCAUGGAUGGCUUAUCACCAUUCCUGGCUUUCUGUGUAUGAGGUGACUGCUUCAGUCCAUCUCUAUGCAGAUGGCACUUGAAGGUGCAGCUCAAGCGCUAGCUUUUCCAGCGAGACCUCCCUGUUCUCAGCCCAGGCCCAGUGAAACGUCAUUUGGCUUCUUUGCACUUGUACAGCGUCUCUCCUAUGGCACAUGUCUGUUUUACCCCGUGUCUGACUUAUAUUUUUGCCUAUUAGGUUUGUAGCACUUAAAUAUUUUUGAAUGAUUUGCUCAUUGAGCAGCUGAGUGAAGUGAAAUCUGGACUGUGUACUACAGCGAGGUCUCCUUGUGACUGCUGACAGCAUCCGUGGGUGCCAAUGACUGAACAAAAAUUAGCCUUUGGGGAAGAGGACAGGGCAAAUGAACCAGGCAUUGUUUCAGCUUCCAGUUUUUCAUGUCUUGUCCCUACAGUACUUCGAUGGAUGCUGAGAGACUCAGGAGUAAAUAUGGGUAACUAAAGAGAAAAGGGCUUGGGAAUAUCAGAUGACCUCAGACUCAAAUGUGGCUCUAGUUCGAUUCUGUUGUUGAAAAUGCUGAUGCCGAGCUGGAGAGAUGGCUCAGAGGUUAAGAGCACUGGCUGCUCUUCCAGAGGUCCUGAGUUCAAUUCCCAGCAACCACGUGGUGGCUCACAACCAUCUGUA